rnacentral:rRNA from 1 species
UAGAGAGAGACAUGCGCGCAUAUCAAUAAGCGGAGGAAAAGAAACUAACAAGGAUUCCCCUAGUAACGGCGAGUGAAGCGGGAAGAGCUCAAAUUUGAAAUCUUAAAGGGUUUCCCUUUACGAAUUGUAGUUUAAAGAAGUGUUUUCUGUUGAGGUUUUGGUAAAAGUUCUUUGGAAUAGGACAUCAUAGAGGGUGAGAAUCCCGUAUUUGACCUUUACUUUCAACUUUGUGAUACACUUUCAAAGAGUCGGAUUGUUUGGGAAUGCAGUCCAAAAUGGGUGGUAAAUUUCAUCUAAAGCUAAAUAUUGGCGAGAGACCGAUAGCGAACAAGUACCGUGAGGGAAAGAUGAAAAGAACUUUGAAAAGAGAGUUAAACAGUACGUGAAAUUGUCAAAAGGGAAGCGUUUGACACCAGUGUUGCUUUUCUGAAAAUCAAUUAAAGAACUGUUUAUGCUAAGUUGUUUAGACUUUAUCAGCUAUCUGUUUAGUUUUGAGCUAUUCUUUAAUGCACUUUUCAGUUAACAAGUCAACAUCAAUUUCUUUUGCUGUAAAAAAGCUUGAGGAAGGUGGCUUGAGAUUCGUCUUAAGUGUUUAUAGCCUCUUGCCUAUGCAGUCGGAGAGAUUGAGGUCUGCAGCGUAGAUCCUUCGGGGCUAAAUGCAUUUGUGCUAAGUUAUAGCAUUUUAUAGACAACUUGUUGACUAUGAUUUGUCUUGUAGCUUACUCGCUUAUGUUAUUUUACCUACGCUUAGGAUGUUGAGCGCAUGUCUCUCUCU